CAAUGCGAUACGUAAUAUAGAAGAGAAAAAAAAUAAGUGAAUCAAUGAAUCAAUUACAGUAUACGUAUAUUGAAUAGAUUUAAAAUCGUGCAAAAACAGCAAUAAAAUAUAUUUAAAAAGUGAGUAAGUGUUCACAGGUUCAAUGUCCAUUUAGGAAUCGGAUGGUAGAGGGGAAGAAGCUGUUCUUGAAUUGCUGAGUGUGUGCCUUCAGGCUUCUGUACCUCCUACCUGAUGGUAACAGUGAGAAAAGGGAAUGCCCUGGGUGCUGGAGGUCCUUAACAAUCGACACUGCCUUUCUGAGACACCGCUCCUUGAAGUUGCCCUGGGUACUUUGUAGGCUAAUACUGUACCCAAGAUGGAGCCAGGGAAUUUCUGCACAAAUUAUCCUGAUUAGGAAGUCUAAAGACAAUCCACCUACCCAUCAGCAUCAGCGCCAUCAUCAUUUCGCAAGUUCAGCACAUAAAGGGUGGACAUGGAUAUUACACUGAGGAGGAAAAAGACAGCUGCUUAUUCAAGGCACAAGUUAAUGAAGACUCACUCUGGGCUAAAGAGAUACAGUGUGGAACAGACCUUCCCGCCCAAUGAGCCAUGUUGCCUAGCAACCCACCUAUUUAACACCAGUCUAAUCACAGGACAAUUUUACAAUAACCAAUUAACCUACUAACUGGUAUGUCUUUAAACCAUGUGAGGAAACCAGAGCACCUGGAGGAGGCCCAUACAGUCAAAGUGAGAACAUACAAACUCCUUACCGAUGGUACCAGCAAUGAACGCUGAACUCCGAACUCCAACGGCCUGAACUAACCGCUAUGCUACCAUGGUGCCUUAGGUGCCCUGAAUUGAUUUCUUGGGAUAGUCAAUCCGUUUUACAGGGAUUGAUUAAGUGAACUGGACCUAUACCCGCUUGUGGUGAAGAAUUUCAUUGGAUCGAACAAAAUCCUUGUGUAUCCAAAGGCUGGACAUGAAGAUCGUGAUUCUU